rnacentral:rRNA from 1 species
GCAGAGGCGGAGUGGUGCGUGUGCAGGUCGAAUGUGAAUGAGACGGCGCUGCAGGAGACGCUGGACUACGCGUGCGGGUAGGGUGUGGACUGCGCGCCGGUGGGCACGAUAGGAAGCUGCCAUAGCCCCGACUCAUUGGCGGCGCACUGCUCCUACGCCAUCAACAACUACUACCAGUGGAACAGCUAGACCAAGGGCGCCACCUGCGACUUUGGCGGCACCGCCACCCUCUCCUCCGCCGACCCCAGUAUGCACCAUGCCUUCUCCCCUCGCCCCUUGUAA